rnacentral:rRNA from 1 species
UUUUGUAUAAUGGGUCAGCGACUUAUAUUCUGUAGCAAGGUUAACCGAAUAGGGGAGCCGGAGGGAAACCGAGUCUUAAUUGGGCGUUAAGUUGCAGGGUAUAGACCCGAAACCCGGUGAUCUAGCCAUGGGCAGGUUGAAGGUUGGGUAACACUAACUGGAGGACCGAACCGACUAAUGUUGAAAAAUUAGCGGAUGACCUGUGGCUGGGGGUGAAAGGCCAAUCAAACCGGGAGAUAGCUGGUUCUCCCCGAAAGCUAUUUAGGUAGCGCCUCGUGAAUUCAUCUCCGGGGGUAGAGCACUGUUUCGGCUAGGGGGCCAUCCCGGCUUACCAACCCGAUGCAAACUGCGAAUACCGGAGAAUGUUAUCACGGGAGACACACGGCGGGUGCUAACGUCCGUCGUGAAGAGGGAAACAACCCAGACCGCCAGCUAAGGUCCCAAAGUCAUGGUUAAGUGGGAAACGAUGUGGGAAGGCCCAGACAGCCAGGAUGUUGGCUUAGAAGCAGCCAUCAUUUAAAGAAAGCGUAAUAGCUCACUGGUCGAGUCGGCCUGCGCGGAAGAUGUAACGGGGCUAAACCAUGCACCGAAGCUGCGGCAGCGACACUGUGUGUUGUUGGGUAGGGGAGCGUUCUGUAAGCCUGUGAAGGUGUGUCGUGAGGCAUGCUGGAGGUAUCAGAAGUGCGAAUGCUGACAUAAGUAACGAUAAAGCGGGUGAAAAGCCCGCUCGCCGGAAGACCAAGGGUUCCUGUCCAACGUUAAUCGGGGCAGGGUGAGUCGACCCCUAAGGCGAGGCCGAAAGGCGUAGUCGAUGGGAAACGGGUUAAUAUUCCCGUACUUGGUGUUACUGCGAAGGGGGGACGGAGAAGGCUAUGUUGGCCGGGCGACGGUUGUCCCGGUUUAAGCGUGUAGGUGUGUGUUCCAGGUAAAUCCGGUUCACUUUAACACUGAGGCGUGACGACGAGGCACUACGGUGCUGAAGCAACAAAUGCCCUGCUUCCAGGAAAAGCCUCUAAGCAUCAGGUAACAUCAAAUCGUACCCCAAACCGACACAGGUGGUCAGGUAGAGAAUACCAAGGCGCUUGAGAGAACUCGGGUGAAGGAACUAGGCAAAAUGGUGCCGUAACUUCGGGAGAAGGCACGCUGACACGUAGGUGAAGUGAUUUACUCAUGGAGCUGAAGUCAGUCGAAGAUACCAGCUGGCUGCAACUGUUUAUUAAAAACACAGCACUGUGCAAACACGAAAGUGGACGUAUACGGUGUGACGCCUGCCCGGUGCCGGAAGGUUAAUUGAUGGGGUCAGCGCAAGCGAAGCUCCUGAUCGAAGCCCCGGUAAACGGCGGCCGUAACUAUAACGGUCCUAAGGUAGCGAAAUUCCUUGUCGGGUAAGUUCCGACCUGCACGAAUGGCGUAAUGAUGGCCAGGCUGUCUCCACCCGAGACUCAGUGAAAUUGAACUCGCUGUGAAGAUGCAGUGUACCCGCGGCAAGACGGAAAGACCCCGUGAACCUUUACUAUAGCUUGACACUGAACAUUGAGCCUUGAUGUGUAGGAUAGGUGGGAGGCUUUGAAGCGUGGACGCCAGUCUGCGUGGAGCCGACCUUGAAAUACCACCCUUUAAUGUUUGAUGUUCUAACGUGGACCCGUGAUCCGGGUUGCGGACAGUGUCUGGUGGGUAGUUUGACUGGGGCGGUCUCCUCCUAAAGAGUAACGGAGGAGCACGAAGGUUGGCUAAUCCUGGUCGGACAUCAGGAGGUUAGUGCAAUGGCAUAAGCCAGCUUGACUGCGAGCGUGACGGCGCGAGCAGGUGCGAAAGCAGGUCAUAGUGAUCCGGUGGUUCUGAAUGGAAGGGCCAUCGCUCAACGGAUAAAAGGUACUCCGGGGAUAACAGGCUGAUACCGCCCAAGAGUUCAUAUCGACGGCGGUGUUUGGCACCUCGAUGUCGGCUCAUCACAUCCUGGGGCUGAAGUAGGUCCCAAGGGUAUGGCUGUUCGCCAUUUAAAGUGGUACGCGAGCUGGGUUUAGAACGUCGUGAGACAGUUCGGUCCCUAUCUGCCGUGGGCGCUGGAGAACUGAGGGGGGCUGCUCCUAGUACGAGAGGACCGGAGUGGACGCAUCACUGGUGUUCGGGUUGUCAUGCCAAUGGCACUGCCCGGUAGCUAAAUGCGGAAGAGAUAAGUGCUGAAAGCAUCUAAGCACGAAACUUGCCCCGAGAUGAGUUCUCCCUGAGACUUAGAGUCUCCUGAAGGAACGUUGAAGACGACGACGUUGAUAGGCCGGGUGUGUAAGCGCAGCGAUGCGUUGAGCUAACCGGUACUAAUGAACCGUGAGGCUUAACCUUACAACGCCGAAG